GACGUAGGGCGCGAGCGUUGUCCGGAUUUAUUGGGCGUAAAGAGCUCGUAGGCGGUCUGUCGCGUCGCUGUGAAAACUCGAGGCUCAACCUCGAGACGCCGAUGGAAACCAUCUGACUAGAGUCCGGAAGAGGAGAGUGGAAUUCCUGGUGUAGCGGUGAAAUGCGCAGAUAUCAGGAAGAACACCCGUGGCUAAGGCGGCUCUCUAGUACGGUACUGACGCUGAGACGCGAAAGCGUGGGGAGCGAACAGG
rnacentral:rRNA from 1 species